UUGGUAUACUACGCUAGAGUUAGAUCUGACUCAGGAGUCGUAACAAGGUAACCGCAAGAGUUUGCAUCCGGACCCCAUGAGUAAUCGUGGGGAACCUGCCUGUAAGACUGGGAUAACUUCGGGAAACCGAAGCUAAUACCGGAUAGGAUCUUCUCCUUCAUGGGAGAUGAUUGAAAGAUGGUUUCGGCUAUCACUUACAGAUGGGCCCGCGGUGCAUUAGCUAGUUGGUGAGGUAACGGCUCACCAAGGCAACGAUGCAUAGCCGACCUGAGAGGGUGAUCGGCCACACUGGGACUGAGACACGGCCCAAACUCCUACGGGAGGCAGCAGUAGGGAAUCUUCCGCAAUGGACGAAAGUCUGACGGAGCAACGCCGCGUGAGUGAUGAAGGCUUUCGGGUCGUAAAACUCUGUUGUUAGGGAAGAACAAGUACGAGAGUAACUGCUCGUACCUUGACGGUACCUAACCAGAAAGCCACGGCUAACUACGUGCCAGCAGCCGCGGUAAUACGUAGGUGGCAAGCGUUAUCCGGAAUUAUUGGGCGUAAAGCGCGCGCAGGCGGUUUCUUAAGUCUGAUGUGAAAGCCCACGGCUCAACCGUGGAGGGUCAUUGGAAACUGGGGAACUUGAGUGCAGAAGAGAAAAGCGGAAUUCCACGUGUAGCGGUGAAAUGCGUAGAGAUGUGGAGGAACACCAGUGGCGAAGGCGGCUUUUUGGUCUGUAACUGACGCUGAGGCGCGAAAGCGUGGGGAGCAAACAGGAUUAGAUACCCUGGUAGCCCACGCCGUAAACGAUGAGUGCUAAGUGUUAGAGGGUUUCCGCCCUUUAGUGCUGCAGCUAACGCAUUAAGCACUCCGCCUGGGGAGUACGGUCGCAAGACUGAAACUCAAAGGAAUUGACGGGGGGCCCGCACAGCCGGUGGAGCAUGUGGUUUAAUUUCAAACAACGCGAGAACCUUACCAGGUCCUUGGACAUCCUCUGACACUCUAGAAGAUAAGAGCGUUCCCCUUCGGGGAAAGAAGUGACAGGUGGUGGCAUGGGUUGUCGUCAGCUCGGUGCCGUGAGAUGUGGGGUUAAGUCCCCGCAACCGAGCGCAAACCCUUGAUCCUUAAGUUGCCAACGCAUUUAAUUGGACACUCUUAGGUGACCGGCCGGUGAACAAACCUGAGAAGGUGGGAUAUAGACGCUCCAAUCACUCAGUGCCCUUAAUGAAGUACCUGGGC
rnacentral:rRNA from 1 species